AGCUAGUCAAGUAUGUUUGUAAGGGCCCAAGAGAGAGUGAGAUGUAACACAGGAUGCAAAGAAGGGGUAAAUGAAGAAGCUGAAUCUUUGAGAAAGCAAGAGGUGAUCGUUUCCAGGUCUCAGGUGGAAGAAAUUGCCUUCAAUCAGAGAAGGAUAUUUCUUCCAAUGUAAUAACAGAAGACGAAGACGAGGGGGAUGUGUACAGCUUGGUGCUGUUCUCAUGGAUGACCUACAGAAGAAGCUGGCACCUGUUGCCUUGGGCUGUGCAUGUUCUUGUUGCAGGACUUGGAGCAACAGAAGAUCUAUCAGGAUCAAGAGUAGCUGUGGAUUCAGUUUUCCACAGUUUCCAUAUUCCAGGAGUUCAAGAUGAAGUUAAGAAUGAAUGCAAGAAUGAAGGCAAGAUAAGAAAAUGGAUGUUCAGGAAAAUGGAGGGAAUAGCCCAAACUCACACAGAUUUAAACUUCCAUCUGCUAUCAUUUCACCUUUUUUUUUUUCUGAGGAAGAUUAGCCCUGAGCUAACUACCACCAGUCCUCCUCUUUUUGCUGAGGAAGCCCGGCCCUGAGCUCACAUCCGUGCCCAUCUUCCUCUACUUUAUAUGUGGGACACCUACCACAGCAUGGCGUGCCAAGUGGUGCCAUGUCCGCACCCGGGAUCUGAACCGGCGAACCCCAGGCUGCCAAGAAGGGGAAUGUGUGCACUUAACCACUGCGCCACCAGACGGCCCCAUCAUUUCACCUUUGUCUGAAAAACUCGCUUUAGCACAUUGUAGUGUAGAGCUGUGAAAGACAAAUUCUCUAAGCUUUGUUUAUCUGAAAAUAACUUUAUUUUGCCUUCAUUUUUGAGGUAUUUUUCUCUUGGAUAUAGAAUCCUAGGUUGACAGUUCUCUUCUUUCCGGACUUUAAAAAUAUUUUUUCAUUGUCUUUUGGCCUCCAUCAUUUCCGAGAAGCCGGCUUUUGCCAUCAUUGUUUUUCUAAAUGUAAUGUGCUUCGUUCCUCAGACUCUUUUAAGAUUUUCCCUUUAUUGUUGGUUUUUAGUAGUUCAAGUACAGCAUACCUAAGUAUGGGUUUUUGUGUAGAUGUGAUUAUCCUGCUUGAACUUCUUGUAUCUGUAAGAUUCUGUUUUUGAUGAAUUUUGGAAAAAUUUCAACCAACAUUUAUUUCUUCAAGUAUUUCUUAUUCCCCAUUACCUUUCCCCUCUCCGUCUGAGAUUACUAUUACACGUGUACAGUCAUGCACCGCAUAACAAUGUUUUGGUCAACAAUGGACUGCAUAUACAAUGGCGGCUCCAUAAGAUCAGUACCAUGUAGCCUAGGUUUGUAGUAGGCUAUACCGUCUAGGUUUGUAUAUAUAUACUCUACACUGUUCACACAAUGGUGACAUCUCCUAACAAUGCAUUUCUCAGAAUGUCUCCUUGUUGUUAAGUGAUGCUCGACUGUAUUAGACAACUUAACUCUGUCCACUUGUCAUUGAAAUACUCUUCAUUCUUUUUCAAAAAAAAUUUUUUACCGUGCUUUAAUUUGUAAAUUUCCUAUUGACUUAUUUUCCAGUUCACUGGUCUUCUCUCCUGUUGUGUCCAGUUUGAUGUUACCAUCAUCAGCCAACAAAUGUUUCAUUUCAGUUAUUGUAUUUUUUGGUUUUAGGAUAUUCAUUGGUUUUUACUGAUAGUUUCAAUAUAAGAAAUAUAGUUUCAAUAUAUGAAAUUCUUUCUGUAUCUCUUUUGAAAUUCUCCACCUUUUUGCCAUUAAAUCCUUUUUUUUGGAUAAUAUUCUUUAAUAUAUUUGUCAUUGUUACUUUAAAGUCCUUAUUUGUUAACUCAA
rnacentral:lncRNA from 1 species